rnacentral:rRNA from 1 species
UGGGGAAUAUUGGACAAUGGGGGCAACCCUGAUCCAGCAAUGCCGCGUGGGUGAAGAAGGUCUUCGGAUUGUAAAGCCCUUUCGGCGGGGACGAUGAUGACGGUACCCGCAGAAGAAGCCCCGGCUAACUUCGUGCCAGCAGCCGCGGUAAUACGAAGGGGGCUAGCGUUGCUCGGAAUUACUGGGCGUAAAGGGCGCGUAGGCGGCUCUGUUAGUCAGGCGUGAAAGCCCUGGGCUCAACCUGGGGACUGCGCUUGAUACGGCGGGGCUUGAGGGCAGGAGAGGCUCGCGGAAUUCCCAGUGUAGAGGUGAAAUUCGUAGAUAUUGGGAAGAACACCGGUGGCGAAGGCGGCGAGCUGGCCUGUUACUGACGCUGAGGCGCGACAGCGUGGGGAGCAAACAGGAUUAGAUACCCUGGUAGUCCACGCCGUAAACGAUGUGCGCUGGAUGUUGGGUGGCCUAGCCACUCAGUGUCGUAGCCAACGCGGUAAGCGCACCGCCUGGGGAGUACGGCCGC